UAGGUCGACCCGCUGAACUUAAGCAUAUCACUAAGCGGAGGAAAAGAACUAACCAAGGAUUCCCUUAGUAACGGCGAGUGAACAGGGAUUAGCCCAGCACCGAAUCUUGCAGUUAUUGCUGCACGAAAUGUGGUGUUUAGGUUAUCUUAUGUGCCGCACUGCUUGCUACAAGUCCACCUGAUUGUGGCUCUUGGCCCAGAGAGGGUGUAAGGCCCGUAGUGGUGAGUGGCGCGGUAUCCGAGAUAUACCUUAGAGUCGGGUUGUUUGGGAAUGCAGCCCAAAGCGGGUGGUAAACUCCAUCCAAGGCUAAAUACUUACACGAGUCCGAUAGCGAACAAGUACCAUGAGGGAAAGUUGAAAAGAACUUUGAAGAGAGAGUUCAAUAGUGCGUGAACCCGCUCAGAGGUAAACGGGUGGAGCUGAAGUUGACUCGGGGGAUUCAGCUGCUUGGACGGCUAGUGCUGACUGUUUUGGAUCUGUUAAGGACCAAGCAGUUAGUAUUUGGUAGUUCGAGCAGUGCACUUUCCUCGAGUCUUCACCACGACCGGCGGUACUGUUGGUCUGUCGUAGUGGGGAAGGUAGCCUAGCUAUCGGCCCUCUGCGUGGAGCUGACAGGGCGUCGGAGAUGGCGAUGCAUGCCCUUCGGGGCUCACAAGCUUUGUCGCGUUGUUGGCAUGUGCUGGGUAUGACUUCAAAGAAGUCUGCUCGGUCUGCUGACGGCGAGGACGGGGCCGCUGUGAGUUGUGUCAAUAGUCUGUGGUGUAAUUGUAGGUAGUCCACCCGACCCGUCUUGAAACACGGACCAAGGAGUCUAACAUGUGCGCGAGUCAUUGGGCGUUACGAAACCCAAAGGCGCAGUGAAAGUAAAGACUUGUUUUUGUCAAGUUGAGGUGAGAUCUUGGCCUCCGCGUUGUUCGGACCGAGCGCAUCACCGGCCCGUCCCAUGGUGUGCUACACCGGGGCGGAGCAAGAGCGUACACGUUGGGACCCGAAAGAUGGUGAACUAUGCUUGCGUAGGUCGAAGCCAGAGGAAACUCUGGUGGAGGACCGUAGCGAUUCUGACGUGCAAAUCGAUCGUCAAAUGUGAGUAUAGGGGCGAAAGACUAAUCGAACCAUCUAGUAGCUGGUUCCCUCCGAAGUUUCCCUCAGGAUAGCUGGCACUCGGGAAACAAACAGUUUUAUCCGGUAAAGCGAAUGAUUAGAGGUAUUGGGGUCGAAAUGACCUCAACCUAUUCUCAAACUUUAAAUGGGUGAGAAGCCUGACUCGCUCAAUUGGAGCCAGGCAUUGAAUGUGAGUGCCUAGUGGGCCAUUUUUGGUAAGCAGAACUGGCGCUGUGGGAUGAACCAAACGUACGGUUAAGGUGCCUAACACGGACGCUCAUCAGAUACCACAAAAGGUGUUGGUUGAUAUAGACAGCCGGACGGUGGCCAUGGAAGUCGGAAUCCGCUAAGGAGUGUGUAACAACUCACCGGCCGAAUCAACCAGCCCUGAAAAUGGAUGGCGCUGGAGCGUUGGACCUAUACCGUACCUUCACCGCAAGCCAGGCAAGGAAGCGGUGAAGAGUAGGAGGGCGCCGUGGUGAGCUUUGAAGCUGCGGGCGUGAGGCCGGGUGGAGCCGCCACGGGUGCAGAUCUUGGUGGUAGUAGCAAAUAUUCAAGUGAGAACCUUUGAAAGACUGAAGUGGAGAAGGGUUCC
rnacentral:rRNA from 1 species